rnacentral:rRNA from 1 species
GGGUGCGAUCAUACCAGCGUUAAUGCACCAGAUCCCAUCAGAACUCUGCAGUUAAGCGUGCUUGGGCUAGAGUAGUACUGGGAUGGGUGACCUUCCGGGAAGUCCUAGUGUUGCACCCU